rnacentral:lncRNA from 1 species
UGAGAUUAUUCUUGAACACACCAGCACGCGAUCGGAACACAAUCUACCUCUUAAUAAUGAUUCCGAGAUCUGACCCAUCAAUCGCUAUCGCUAUCGCUGCUGCUAUCUCCACCUUCGUGUUUGUGGCCGUGCUCACCCUUCUUCUUCUUCUCCUUCUUCUUCUUCUCCCCUUUCUCCUCAUGAUGAUCACCCCCAUGGAUCUUAUCCUUGAUCUUGUCCAUUAUCCCUUCCUUGUGCGCCCCUUCUCCAUGGUGCUCCUCGUGCUUCUUGUGUUCAUCGUGAUGCUCACCCUUGUGCUCGCCCUUGUGAGCGUCGUGGUGCUCUCCCUUGUGAUCGCCUCCAAUGUGGAGCUUCUCGCCGAUUUUCUCAAUGAAUCCAGACAUGUUUUGAUGAUGAAUUUGGAAUGGGGUUUUGAAGAGGAUGCGUGUUUGUGGAAAAUGGGGAAGGAAAGAAGGGGAAUUUAUAGAUGGCGAGGGAGGAGGAAAGACGAAUUGAAACGAAUAAAUUCAGUUUAUCCACAAUGUAUCCGUUGAUUUUGAUUGACGUUAUCUUAUUGCUUUAAUAAUUGCGUUUUUUUUAUAUAUUAUUAUUAUCCUUUUUUUCUGAUUCGUUUACGCGGUAACGCCACGUGUCACACGCUCUUCACCACGUCUUUGUUUUUUCCCUUUCACUUUCUAUUUAAUUCUAUUUUUUUGCUUUCAAUCAUACUAAAAAUAAUAAUUAGAUAUCUAAUCAGAAAAGUUUGGAGAAUUUGUUAGAAUAAAUUGUGCCAUUUCUACAGGUUAGGUUCAAGAUUUUGAAUGGGUUUGCGUUCCACCAAGUAAAUAUGAAUAUUAAUUGUAAAGGAAACUAAGAAAUUGAAUCUGAGAUUUUUUUAAUCAAAGAAAUUUACUGUGUUGGAUUGAGAAAAUUUUAAGUGUAUAUCAUAGUGUGUAUAAGAUAUGAAGUAAACUAAGUAUUUAUAGACUUAUUAGGUACUUUUAUUAUAUUUUUUCUUUUUAUGUUUAAGUGAUUUAUUUGACAUUUUUUUAAAUUUUGAAUUAAUGGGUGUUUUUCUAAAGCAUUAAAGCAUUCACUCAGAUGAAAUCUACCAAAAUUAAUUCUGUGUAACUUUUCAUUUAAUAUAAUGGACCCAUGAUGCCAUAACUCAAUUAAUGUUUAAAAUAAUAAUAAAAUAAACGUGUGAAAUUAAAUGAAAAAAUAUUGUUUAAAAUGAAUUUGAUUUAGUGGUAUUUGUACGACGUUUGUUUUUAUUGUUAUCGAUAAAAUCUUACUUUGAUCUAUAUUGAUGAAUAUAUUUUUUAAAAAAAUCAUGAAAAAACUAUUAAAAAAAACGUUUUAACUCUAAAUAAAUCAAAAUACUUCAUUUUGAAGAAAAAUUUAAGUACUUACUAUUGAUAUUAUAUUUACAUUAGUAUGUUUAAGAGUUAUGUCCUUUAAUGCAUCUAAAUCAUGUCAAUAUCUACUACUUAAGUAUACAUCAUUAUAGCUUUAUGAAAACUAUAUCCGUUCUCCACUUUUGAAUUUUCUCAACUUAGUCCACUUAUUCGUUUUCUAAUGAAAACAUCAAAUAAUGUAUGACAAAAUUUCGAUGUUUCGUUUUAACUACGAAGAGAUAACAUUUCUCUUUUCAUUAUAUAACUCUCGACUAUAUUGGUUGGUGUUUGAAAAUUUAAUAUCUUUUAGUUGAAAAAUAAUUAUAUAUAUAUAGAUGUACUCAUUCAUCGAAUAUGAAAUUUGAUGUAUAGAGAUCCGAGUUUAGAAAAAAAUUACAAUAUUAUUAUUUAGUAUUGUUUCGAGUCACGAUAUAUAUAUAUUAUAUAUAUUUAUUUUAUAAACAUCCUUUGAAAUAUUAAUGUAAAUAUAAAAUAGAAGUCAUGGAUAGGCGUGCAGAUAUGAAAUAAAAUGAAAUAAUUAUUUACUAAUCCAACUUGUAAUAACAUAAUAAAUAGCAAUAAUAAUACAUAUGAAUCAAAAUUAAUUUACAUGUUGACAUUAAUUCGGUUAUAUAAAGAAAAGGUAAACCUAACAAUUUGAAACUAUGGAAAAUAAGAUGUUGAACUAGAAGAAUCCUAAAGUAAUGCUCACAUGUUGAAUUGAAGACUAUACAAUUACAUUAUUUCAUCAUCAUAGUGAACCACUAUAAGAUAGGAGAUUGAACCUCUCACAUUUAAAAUAGAAGAACAUAUCAAUUAUUAUUGAACCAAGUUCACUUUACAUUUAUAAGAAGUAGUAUGUAUUAAAAUUUUGUUUAAACUGAAUUGUAAUUAAAAUGAAAAUCCUAUCAUAAAAUUAUAUGGCGUGAAUAGGUUAUUUUGUUUAGUUUUACCUAUUUUUUUCACAUAUUCAAUAAUCAAACUAUCACAAAAGUGUGGGUCUAUAAAAAGAUAAUAGUGAAAAUGGAAGAUUAGUAGUUUUAAUUGAAUUUAAUACACAAAAGAGGAGAAAUAGGUAAUUAAGAAAAGUAAAUAUCAAUAUACUAAAAAGUAAAAGAAAUAUGGGCAAUGGAUUGUUUAUUCAAGCGGGAUUAAGAGAAGCCACUCAUGGGAUGCCACGUGUGAAAGAUCCAUUGCCGACAUUUUGGUGUUAUAUUUGUAGAGGUCUCCGCGUUGGCCGACAUUUCAAUCAAAAAAGUGGUCGGCAGAUAAAUACCACGUGUCGUUCAUCUAAGCAUCCACGUGAAGUUAUUCUUUUUUAUUUUUUGAUUUUUUGAUUUUUUGAUUUUUGUCGUGUAGUGGAAAAUGUGGGAUUUGAGUCCAAAUUUUGAUGCAUGACUUUAUGUAAUAUCUAAACUCAUAUGUGGUUAUAAUUGAUUUAGCCAUAAAUUAAGCCUUUCAAUUUGCACCAUCUAACCCAACUUUAAUUUACAUACUAAAUCUAAUAAAUCAUCUCUCCUUAUUUCAAUCUCAAUUCCCUUUAAUUGCCUCUAUUCUUUCUUUACCUAUAUUUGUUCAUCCUAAUUAAGGAAUUCUCUUAUGUAAGGUAACAAAUAAAAAAAGCAAUAAUCUAAAUCUAAUCAUUCCAUCAUAUAUUAUUUUAGUUUAAGAAUAAAAUAGUAAAAUAGUAAAAAAACUAUAGCAAAUAAUAGGGAGUUUGAAAUAAUAUUUGUAGUAGCUAAUUGAGAGUUUUAAAAUAGUAUUUAUUGUAACUAAAGAUUGUCAGUAUAGUUUUAUAUAAUCCUCGUCCCAAAUGACAUGUAACAUGUGAUUGAAGUAUAAUUAUACACAUUUUUUAAUUUUUUAAUUUUUGAAUAAGUAUUCAUUGAACGUGAUCUCAUCGAUAUUUUAAUUUGGUCGAAAUUUCCAUAGAAGAAAGAAUAUACGAUUAUAAACUUAAUCAAAUCAUUAAAAAAAUAUAGAGUACUAUCUCCAUGAAAAUUCAUGGAUAUCAAUGAUUACACCCACCAAAAGAAGUAUCUAUCUUUUUAUAAAGAGUGUUGUAUUCGUCAGAGUUGAGGUAUCCCGAGUUGUGUUACAAACAGUUUAAUAACACAGAAGAAAAAAAAGCAUAGAUAAAUAUUUAUUCAUGUAAUAAUUGAUCUCCAGAUAUGUGGAAAAAUGAAAGGCAGAUUGAGUUUUUAUGUUUUUGUUGUUUCGUAGUAUUUUUCUUUAAAACGUUAAGAGAAAAUCAAAUAUUGAGUAAAAAGAGGAAAGUAUUGUUUAAGAAUUUAUAUUUUGUUUUUCGUCAAGAGUAUAUAGUGAUAGAAAUGAGAAAAAAGAGAAUUAAAAGGAGGAAAAUUCUUCACGUGAUGAGCAUCGAAUUCCUGGUCCAUGAUAUAUUCUUCAACAUAUAGCCCUUUUACCCUCUCAUAAUUCACUCUUUCUUCAAACUCAAGAUUUCCAAUCUAAACCCUUUUGAUGACUUUAAGUAGUGCUGUGAUUUAUGCACUUACAAUGAUCGUCUUCUUUAUCUCGUAAACAUAGGGUUUUGGUUUUUCUUUUAACAAUAGGGUUUAGUUGGUCAAAUGAGGUUUUGUGUUCAAGUCCAUGCGGUGCGAUACUAUAUUAUUCCCUCUCCAAUUAAAAUUGAUUCACAUGUCGUGUGUCUUCUCACGUAUCGACAUAAUUUAACUUGCUUAAUGAAUAUUAAUUGAGAGAGCAAAUAACAAUGCAAGAAGUUAAACACAUAACUGCGUUUGGACCAUAUGUUGCUCUAACCAUUUUAAAUUGUUGAUUGAUUUAAAAACUUAAGUUAGAAUUAUGUGAAACUUAAACGAAUUUAAUCCUAUAUCAUCUAAACCAUACCGUGCAUUUAUUCAAAAGUGGUAAAGUAUAAAAAAGAGGUAGGGAUUUGAUGUUAGUCAUGCAUAUAUAUAACUUUAUUUUGCUUAGUUUUCACGAUAUUGCUUGAGGCUUCCUCUUCAAUCUUUUAGUCUCUCCCUCAUUAAUAUGUGUAUAUAUAUAUAUAUAUAGACACAACCAAACUUUUUUCUUUUCUUUUCCCUUCUUUUCUUUCAUUAUUAGUACUCUUUUCUUCUUUUGCUUUUUCCUUCUGCUUCUUCUUCUUUCUUUCUCUUCACUUUAUUAUGCUUAUAUGAAUAAAGAAAAAUUAGUGUAUGUGAUUUUUGUUUUUACAACAAAUUAUCUCAAUAUUUAAAUGAAUGAGUUUGACAAUUUUACUCUAGAUUUCUUUUAGGGCGUUUCUGUGUUUGGGUCGUUGGAAUGCUUUUAAUUAGGAUUGGUUGAAUAUAUGCUUGACCAUUCAAAAGUAAGAUUUAUUAUUAUCAACACAACCAACUUGCACCACACAAGGAGAUUGGAAUUUGCCAACACGGCAAACUGCCAGGAAUUUAGCUACAUGUGACGUCGGAAAGGUUAUCGCAACAUUGUUUUAAUCAUCAACAAUUUGGCCAAGGGAGGAGACCCGUCUAGCAGAGAACAAAUGUCGAUGCCUGCCACAUGGUGUUUGGGAGUAAUGCUCAUAAUACACUGACACAAUUAUAUCAUUGGAAGUUAUAUGUUCAGUCCCCUAAUGCCUCUAUGAAGGUAUCAAGAUCUAUUCUAAAUUGUCGACGCUUUAUUUAAUCGUUGAUAGAAGUUGUUUAUCUCAACAAUUUACUUUUGAUGUGUUUUAUGUAUGAUGACAAAUACGUUUUUCUUUUUUCUUUUUAGUAUUGUGCAAGUGUUCAAAACUUAAGUGAAAGAGUGUGUCAUCUCCCAACUCAGUAUCUUUCAUCAUCAACCUAUUUACCCAAUCCUUUUUCGGAACUUGAAUUUGAAUAUUUGGUUUUUACAAUCUGAAAAUGUCUGUUUGAAUCACUAAAAUCUCGUUUAGUAAUUAUUUUAUAUUUAGUAUUUUUUGUUUCGAUAAUUAAAUUUAUUUUUUCUUUUCUUCUUACAAUGAUUUACAACUUUUGAAUUUUUAAUCAAAUUUAAAAAACAAAAACAACUUUUUAAAAGUUACUUAUUUUAGAUUUCAAAAUUGAGCUUAGUUUUUUUAAAACAACUAGUAAAUAGUAUAUAACAAAUAAUGAAAUUUAGAUGUGGAAGUGAUGUAGAUAGACUUAAUUUUCAAAAAGAAAAAUCGAAAAAAUAAGAUGACUACCAAACGAGUCCACAAUUUUUUAUCAAUGUCAUAACCUAAGGGUUCAUAUAACAAAGUAUCUUGGUAUUGGUGAAUGAGUUAAUUUAACCAUAUAGUAACUAAAUCUCCAUCUUAUUUUGUCAAUAUUGGAGUAACUCCAAAUUUUUGUAAGAUUUUUAGUCAUUCAAAUAAUACAAAUACUAUGUAUGAAAAAAAUCAUUAACUCAAAUCACAUAAAUACUUUAUACUAAUACUUGGGUAUAUGAAUUAUUCUUCCAUACAUCAAUUAUCAUACAGUUUCUUUUCCAUAAAAGUACCAUUUAGAUAAUCCAAAAAUUACACCUAUAUAAGUUUGGAUGUAUUUUGGAAAAUCCAUCGGAGGAUGACACUCUGUUAGGGGGAAGGCCCAUUUGUACAAACCCCAAUUUAUUGGGCUUUUAAAUUUUCAACAUCGGCUCAUUUGAACAAGCCCAUCUUUAACUAUAAUUUGGGCUUUCGUAAAAUAAUAAAUAUUGAUAAAACUAAUUAAGGAAACCCAAAUUUUUUGUUAAAUAAUUGUUUGAUGCUAUAAUUGGAGGAGAUUGUGGUUAAAGCUUAUGUAAUUAAGGUAUUGGUAACAAUUGUUUUAUUAUUUAAUUGGUAAUAUUAUAUUAUCUCUUUACGAGAAAAAAUCAAGGUUGCUAGUGCACUAUUUGAAGCAUAUGUAGUCAACAUAUGUGAUGAUAUGUUCAACUAAUAACCUAAAUUUUCUAUAGCAUAUGACUAAAGUUGGAUGGAUUAUCGUAUCAAUACUAUUAUAUUGAUAUUGUCCAUUUUAUAAUAAUUACAAAUGAUUUGACCUAAACCGUUCAUAUGAAGACAUGUGAGUACCAAGGAUAUCUCUGCAGACACAAAUGUUAUAUCUCUCUUUGCAACUUUAUAAAGCGAGAAGAUAAAAAUUAAUAUUUCACAAGACGACAACCAUAAUCCUAAGACAACCAUAAUAUUUCACCCUAUCAUUAGUUCAAGAGAGACUUGAUUUAUAAUUGAAUCUAAAACGGUUGUUCAUAAAAGUCAAUAGAUCUUUUAAAGAUGCAAUAAUAGUAUUUAUAAUUGCAUAAUAAAGUGUUCAUUGUUAUUGAUCAAUAUAUGUAGACAUACCACAUGAACAUAUCUCUUGAAAAAGAACAAAUAUUGUUAAUCAGCGGGUCGCUAACGAGUGACUUGACUUUUUUGUAUCAAAUGCUAAGGAGUGUCCAAACAAUACAUUGAUGUGUCAAAAUAUUUUAACAAACUUUUAAAAAAUAAAACGCCGUAUUUAAAUAAUAGAAUUCAAAAGGGGUAAAAUAGAGAAUGUAAUUUAGUAUAUUUAGUCCUCUUUUUGUUUCUCUAUGAUUGUUAUUUGUAAAUAUAACUUUUCUCCCUCACUAUCUCUUCAAAUCUCUUGAGGAUAUUUCUUUACUUCCUUUCUAUUAGUUCAUAAAUAUGAAUAUAAUUAAAAGUUUGAAAACAGUACUUUUAAUUUAAAAUGAAAAAUAAAAACAAAAACUAUUCCUAUCACUAAAUGGAAAUAAAAAGUUUAUAAUGAUUUUAGUUUAUCAAAUUCCAAAUUCUAGAAUAUUAUUUUUCUAACAAUUUCUCCUUUUCUUUUUCAAUAAUGUAAAAUGAAUAUUUUAUUUUUUAAAAAUAAUUAUCAAGUAAACUUUUCAUCUUUUUAACCAACCCAUAUUAUACAUCAAUUUUACAAUAUAUAUUUUUAAUUUUGAGUGAAGAAGGUAAAAAAAAAAAGGUAAUUAAGAUAUAUUUAUUUUCCAAAAUAGAAAAAAAAAAAAGGAAAAACAAAAAAGAAGAAUGUGUACGGAUCUAAACUCUAUAAUUCAAACCUUUGCUCAAAUGGUGAACUUUUGAAAAAAGAAAAAGCAACAACAUUUACUUAAAAGGAUCCCCAGAUAUAAAGUUUAGAGUAUGAAGUGAUAAUUGAUUCAAUUAAUACUUUUUGUCCAAAGAAAAUAAAACAAAUUGAUUACUUACUUGUUUAAAUCUCCAUCAUUGAAGACUUGAGAAAGUGUUUUAAAAUUUAUAAUGGAAUUGAAAUAUUUUAUAAUGUAAUAGCAUUUUGAGUUUAAAUCGUAAUAUGAAACUCAUUUCAUUUUGACAGUAUGUAAUUAUUGUGUUAUCAACUCAACACACAUUCCAACGUUUAUCUAAUCUAAUUGUGUUGAUUAAUGGGUAUAUAAGAAUCCUUCCUCUCACUUUUACAAAGCAAAAUUAGAAAAAGAAAAAGGCAAAACUUUUGACCUAUUUUUUUUCUUUUUUUUCUAAGGUUUUAUCAAAGAUAAUGCAAUUACUUUUUGGGCCACUAAUUUAGAGGAGAUUUGAGUCACUUCUCAUUAAAAGUAUGUAUUCUCAUCAUGGAAAUUUUUGGGAAGGGUAACAAACUUUCAUUUAGCUUUUUGUUUCCCUUUUUUCUAUUGCUUCAAGGAAAAAGAAAAAGAAAAAGAAAAAAAAAGAUUAGCUUUUGGAUUUUUUUUCCCUUUUUUUCUUUUAAUCUUUCUUUUUAAUUACUUUUGUUUUCUUUUUCCCUUCCUUUUAAUAAAAACAAUGGGAAAAGGAAAAGGUGAAGUGGCUUUCCUAAUGAUUCUAUAUUUUUUAUGGUGUGUUUCUUUAUGUUAUAAUAUGAAAUUGGUUAAAAUAUGGCUUUUCUCUCCGUUUAGUUUUUAUGUUUUACAAGGAUUAAAAAUGAUAUUUUAACCAAUGAAAUUGAUGUUUUGUACUUAGUUCGACAACUCGAUUUUUAUUAUUUAAAUAUUUUUUAGUUCAUCACGGGAGGUAUAAAUUUGAAUAAGGGGUGAAAUUAACGCAAAUUACUCAUGAACUAAUUAAUAAAUUAAACUAGUAAAAACUUGAGCAAAUAGUCACAUAAUGUUACAAUGCAGCUCAUUAGAGAUUGUUCUCUAUUUUGACCAAAAUCUUUCGAAAAUGAAGUAGUUUUGUGUUGUGUUGGUGUUUCAUUGAAUUGAUGUUAAAUGGCCUUGAUUCUUGUGCUAUCUUCCCAACACCCCCACUUACAAAGGCUACUUGAAAAUUAAAUGAGUGAUAAGAUCUUCACAUCCUUUGCUUGGUUGGCAGCUCUUAUAAAUAUUUAAUGAUCCUUUUCCAAAGGGGACACCCACACCCCCCCUUUUCUUUUCUUUUUUUUUCUUUCUACUUUCUUUUCUAAUAAAUAAAUAAAACACACAGUCACUCUCUCACAAAGUCCUUUUCAUUUCAAUGUAAUGUCCCUUUCUCACAGAUAGUAUUUUAUCUCAAUUCUAUUAUCUCCCUCUCAUUUUCAUUUUUUUUUUUUUAUAUAUUUCUACCCUUUCUAUUUUCCCUUCUUUAUGUUUGCAUCUAAUUUAAAUUACUAUAAUGAUAUUUGCUAUGUUCUAUAAAUUAGAUGUUGAAGUUUUGAAUUGUCAUUCUCGCAGUUGGAUAUGCAUUACAUUUGGUUUUAAAAUAGUUAAAACUACUUUGGUUAUAAAGACUAAAACGGGUAUGGUUUUUAUAUGAAUUUUCUGGCAGAAAAAGGUAUGUUCUGAAAGCUCAAAAAGUUCAAAUAAAAUGCAUACAAAUAUUUUACAAAACUUCAUCAACAAAUAGAAUAAACCUAAAAGUUAUGUAAAACCUAGUUGAAAAUAGAAACCCCCAUCAAAGAUACAUUGCUGUUCUCAGUUAGUGGCAGAGGCAAUGGAAAGAAUAGAAAUGACAGAUACUAAACUGUGGAACAAAAAAACACAUCAUAAACCUUAUGUACCAAAUUUCUUCCGAGCUUUCAGAGAUUUAUAAACAGCUUUUAAGAUUAAAAACAAAAAAUACAUUUUUAUGUGCUCUGAUGGAAAAUCUAUAAAAGAGAAUAAAAGCUUCCAGUUUUUGCUUCCAAAAUUUGAGGAGUAUCCCUAAAAUGGCCUUUGCUAUCUGCAUUAGUUGUUUCUGAAGUUUCAAAAACACUACCUUUCGAAAUGUUUUCCUUUGGAUAUGGAUGAAUUCCAAAUGUGGUCCAUAUAGGACUCCUUGAAGCCUCGCUUGGGUUAUCCACUCGUAACGUCUUUGGAACCACCACGCAUUUCUCUGACUUCUCGUCCUCUGCUAGGCUGUUUGUAUCUCUCAAAUGCUUACCGAGUGUAGGCGAUGAGCUUGUGGGGCAGGUGGAUGUUUGAGAUGCACAGACAUCAGAAGGAACAACGGUUAAAUUCCCAGUACCGGUAGAAGUCCAUACGGGCGUACAACCCCAGCAUGAGGCUGGGACGAAUUGUAAUGGAAGGCUUGGAGUGCAAAACCCUGGAACUGCCAGCACUGUUGCUGGGAGCCAUUGAACUGGUGGAUUGGGAUGACUGCUAGUAUUUGGUACACUUGUGCUAUCUGAGCUUUGGGUCAUUGCUGAUGAAAUUAGGCUGCUUCCGCCCUGAUUCAAUGGAAAAACCAAUUGUGGAACGGGGUAACAAUGAACCGUAUUUGAUGCAGUGAUAUCACUACUAGAGUUGGACAAUCUAACUGCCUCUGGCCUCUCGAUGACACUUUUAGGCAAUUCGUUUCCACGAAUACUAGUAGUUGUCAUGGAAGAUCCGCAUGAGGAUGGUUCUUCAGGACUGUCUCCACAAUAUGCAGACCCAAUCUCAAUGGAUCUCUUCUGAUCUCCAAGACUCAGCACAGUCUCCAUCGAUUCACAAAGUGGUGCUUCGGGUCCAAACUUUAGGACAGUACUACUUCCAUUGGAAGGCCUCAAAGCAGAAGGAGACUCGAUAUUCGAGAGUAGAUGAUGGUGAUUUGUUGCAUCCGAAGUUUCCAAGCGGGUUGUAGCAACUCCCUCGGAGGAUACUAUUAUCUGUCGGUAUUGAGAUGCCAACUGCUUGUUUCUUCGUCGUCCAGCACCAAUAGGAACGUUUCUCAUCGUCCCACCAGCAGUCCAAUAUCUUUGGCAGUUCUUGCAGAAAUGCCUAGGUUGAUUGACAUUAUAGUUGUUGAAGUAACAAAAUUUUGUUUCCAAACUAUUACAUCUAGGACAAGGAAUGAUUUUGUCUGGCUUCUUAAAUGCUCUUUCUUGAUCCGUGCCAUUACCAUCCUCCUGCUCUUCUUUCAAAUGUAGUUCUGAUUCUCCCUUGUUUGACGUCACGUUCGAAGCUUGGUUUUCUUCAUUAUCCCCUACCAAUACCGAAGACCUCUCUGAUGGGCAAGAGUCUUCUGCACCUGAGACUGACUGCUCAGCUUUUUUCAAAUUGUUGCAAGCAUCCUGAAAACAGUAUUCAACAAAUUGACACUUAACAACAGUCAGAAAAGAGAAGCACACAAUCGACAUACGUCGAAAAAAAAGCCAAGAAGUGUAUCAAAAUCUACAAGGAGAUGGGAUUUUACAAAACAAGACCUCAGAGCCCUUCCCAAAUAAGGUAAAAAUUACAUUCAUUCAAGAAAGAUAGUACAAUAUGCAACACGAAUGAAAAGAUACAAGGAAACAUGAUAUAAAUGAACAGAACACUUCCAUUAAGGAAUCAAUCUUCAUCAAACAUUUUCAGCAGCUCCAGAUAUUCACAAGAGAACUUCAUUUAACCCUCAAUGGAUCCACUACAAACUGAACCAAAAAAACCAUCUGAAUUCCACAUUCAAAUUUGGCUAAAAACAGUUCUCCUAAUGAACUUCUUCCAAAACCACAAAGUUGGGAAAGGAACAGUAAAGUCAACCAAGGCCACAAAAACAUUACAAGAACAAAUCUAAACAAAAUCAUAUAUUGAAGUUAAAACCCAAUAAGGGCCCCAACCCAAAUGCUUAGAGAACCCAAAAAAACAUAUACACACAAUGAAAAGAAGAGUUGAAAUGAGAGUAGAAGAGGGGGAAAGAGACAACUCAAUAGAAGAAGAAGAAGAAGAAAAAGAAGAAGAAGAAGAAGAAGACCAAGAAUAUGAAUAAGACAGUUAAAUGAGCAUUUCAAUAAUCUUUUCCAUGUCCCACAAACACACACACACACACACACACACACAGUAAAGGCAUUUUUCAGAUUAAACCCAGAAAGCAAGAAGCCAUCAAAAUAAAGAGAGAAUGAAGGAAAGGGGAGGAAAUAAAAUAGGUACCGGAUUAUGAAGAGGGGCGGCGGAAAUCUGGGAUUCCGGCAAAGGGAUGGUCCGACCGAAGAGUUUAAUGGCGAGAUCCUUGAAAUGUGGGGGGGAAAUGACAUCCUGUGUAGUAGAACUGGACAUUUUGAAAAAUGGGUUGUUAAUGGAGAGUAGUUUGAUUGAGAAAGUGGGAAGGUUUGGAGGUGAAAAUCAAUGGAAGAAGACCCAUUCAAAUAUAGAGAGAGGUUAUGAAGGAGGGAGAAGGAGAAGGAGAAGAAGAAGAAGAAGAAGAA